AUGACCUACCCCAAGAGCCUAAUGGUGAAAGCCGGAGAACCCACUAAAGCUAACCUGUCCAUCACUUCACUUCCCACGACACCAUCGGGAACUGAUGUCACCCUGACUAUAGAUGUGAAGUCGUCCAGUGUUGGCGCCGACUCAAACUAUGUCGUUUUGAGACUCUCCGUUGUUGAAAAGAUUACAGACUUUGUCGCUCCAUUGUGCAACGUGUACGACGUGAUGGCUGGCGACUGCCCUGAUGACGUGUCCAAGUGUGGACUGUUCAAGUGGCACUUCACAGCCAACCUCACUGAUAACAACGGCACCGGGAUAGACCAGAUCUCCCUGCGUCAGGGCAAUGGAAACCUCACAUACACCUCUCUCAGUGAUCCUCUGGUCCAGGCCAAAUACGAAGCCUCCUGUUGCUCGCAGACUGCAGAGUUUGUAGCUUUAGAUAAAGUUGGCAACGUGGGCAAGUGCUAUCAUUCCAUCGUCAAAGAUUUUGAUCCACCUCAGUGUCAGCUGGUCCGACUGGUGGUGGAUGGUGGCAAAUGCCCCAAUGAUCUGACGUACUGCAGAGAUCACAAAUGGGAACUGGUUGUCAACCUUACUGAUGGAAAUGGAACGGGCUUGAAGGGAAUUUCCCUGCAUCACGGUGAUGGAAUCCUCAUCUACUCUUCCCUUAAUAGUCCUGUGACUGAGGUCAGCUACAACGCGACCUGCUGCGCUCAGGUGGUGGACUUCCGCGCUGUAGAUAAAGCAGGCAACGAGGGCAGGUGCUACUACUCGAUCGUGUCCUCUGCCGGUCCCCUGACACUGUCGGUGUGGUUGUUACUGGCAGCUGCCCUCACGGCAAUGCUCUGA
rnacentral:lncRNA from 1 species